GUCUUUUAUUAAGUUUUAUUAAGCUGCUUCUUCAUUCGUCAGUUGAAUAUCGUGCGCAAGUUGUUCUUUUGGCGGCGUGUUAGGAUUUAGGGCUUGGAGUGUUUUGUGGCUGAUUUUGCUUGGGUUUACUUUGCGCAGUUUUUGGUCUAUUGAUUUCAGUUCUGCAAACUCUACAUGGCAGGUAAUCUGUAUGUCCAGGUCUUUUAUUAAGUUUUUUAUUUGCGUCCUUUGGCUGGCUGUCAGUGUGGAUGUGCGGCGGAAAAGAACGCGUCUGAGUUUUCGCUUUCUUUUGAUUAGGUUUAGGCAGUAUUGGCUAAGUCGGACAAACGGAUUGUUGGGGUUGUUCGGGCUUAGGGUGAUUUUUGGAAUUGCUUCACUGGAAUUUAAAGCUCUGUCUAUUGCAUAUGUUAAUGUUUGGACGUGACCAUCUAUGUCAGCUGAGUUUAUGUUUUGGGUGUUUGGAAUUUGUCUCAGGUUCUGAAGGAUGAUUGUGUUCCAGUGGAUGGGGUUUAUUUUUUUGAAGUUAUGUAAGGACUUUGGUUGGUUGUAUGUUAGUCGGUUGUGUCCUAGAUUUAUUUUGAUUGUUAUGCCGAAGUGGUCUGAAGGGAAGUCUUUGAUGGUUUUGCAGCCGAAUGUAUAUGUUUGGUUGUCUAUUGGUAUUGAGGAUGAUGCUAUGAAGUAGUCUAUUGAUGAGUCUCCCGUCGGAUUUGGGCGUGUGGGUUCUUCGGUUGGGAGUAGGUUUACGAAGGGUUGGUUUGCUAGCCAUUCCUCCAGCGUAUUUCCUGACGAGU
rnacentral:lncRNA from 1 species